UCCGUAGCCAUUUUGGCUCAA
rnacentral:misc_RNA from 1 species